GAUGAACGCUAGCUACAGGCUUAACACAUGCAAGUCGAGGGGAAACGAUAGAGAAAGCUUGCUUUUUCUAGGCGUCGACCGGCGCACGGGUGAGUAACGCGUAUCCAACCUGCCCAUCACUUGGGGAUAACCUUGCGAAAGUAAGACUAAUACCCAAUGACGUCUCUAGAAGACAUCUGAAAGAGAUUAAAGAUUUAUCGGUGAUGGAUGGGGAUGCGUCUGAUUAGCUUGUUGGCGGGGUAACGGCCCACCAAGGCGACGAUCAGUAGGGGUUCUGAGGGGAAGGUCCCCCACAUUGGAACUGAGACACGGUCCAAACUCCUACGGGAGGCAGCAGUGAGGAAUAUUGGUCAAUGGGCGAGAGCCUGAACCAGCCAAGUAGCGUGCAGGAUGACGGCCCUAUGGGUUGUAAACUGCUUUUAUAAGGGAAUAAAGUGAGUCUCGUGAGACUUUUUGCAUGUACCUUAUGAAUAAGGACCGGCUAAUUCCGUGCCAGCAGCCGCCGCUG
rnacentral:rRNA from 1 species